rnacentral:snoRNA from 1 species
ACACUCCAAAUUCCUUACUCCUCAGAUCUAAAUAUUGGUCUCAGGGGCUAAAAAAGGAGGAAAAGUCAAACUGAAGUGGACCUGGAGUCUUUAAUGACAUGCAAGUUCAUUUCUAACAUCA